rnacentral:rRNA from 1 species
GGACUGAUUAUUUUGUGACUGAGUGGCGGACGGGUGAGUAACGCGUGGGUAACCUGCCUUGUACAGGGGGAUAACAGUUGGAAACGGCUGCUAAUACCGCAUAAGCGCACAGCAUCGCAUGAUGCAGUGUGAAAAACUCCGGUGGUAUAAGAUGGACCCGCGUUGGAUUAGCUAGUUGGUGAGGUAACGGCCCACCAAGGCGACGAUCCAUAGCCGACCUGAGAGGGUGACCGGCCACAUUGGGACUGAGACACGGCCCAAACUCCUACGGGAGGCAGCAGUGGGGAAUAUUGCACAAUGGGCGAAAGCCUGAUGCAGCGACGCCGCGUGAGCGAAGAAGUAUUUCGGUAUGUAAAGCUCUAUCAGCAGGGAAGAUAAUGACGGUACCUGACUAAGAAGCACCGGCUAAAUACGUGCCAGCAGCCGCGGUAAUACGUAUGGUGCAAGCGUUAUCCGGAUUUACUGGGUGUAAAGGGAGCGCACGCGGUGCGGCAAGUCUGAUGUGAAAGCCCGGGGCUCAACCCCGGUACUGCAUUGGAAACUGUCGUACUUGAGUGCCGGAGGGGUAAGCGGAAUUCCUAGUGUAGCGGUGAAAUGCGUAGAUAUUAGGAGGAACACCAGUGGCGAAGGCGGCUUACUGGACGAUAACUGACGCUGAGGCUCGAAAGCGUGGGGAGCAAACAGGAUUAGAUACCCUGGUAGUCCACGCCGUAAACGAUGAA